rnacentral:rRNA from 1 species
GCGACCCCAGGCCAGGCGGGACUACCCGCUGAGUUUAAGCAUAUCAAUAAGCGGAGGAAAAGA